GAGGAUAUUUUUGUCAUUUUAUAAUUUUAUACCAAAGAUAAAUUGUGUUGGGAUAGUAAUACCACCAUAUGUGUGGAUAACUUAUCUCAGUACUAUUUAGUAGUCGCGGAAUAAGUUAUCCCAACUAUUGACAAUCAAACGAUGGAUUAAAUUUUUAAUCCUGAAUUAUUGUUUUAUUCUGAAAUUAUUUAAUUUAAUACCGCACACCAAACGAUCCCUUAAAAAGAUCUAACACCAACAAAGAAUACUACCAGAGUAUCGUCGAUGAAACUCCCAGUUAUUCGAGCAUCUCCUUUGGGUUAUCUUCAGCCUCAAGCCAUGGAUCUUCUAGUGGAAGCUCUGUCUUAUCCUUUAAUAUUGUUACUAGUGAGGGAAUUGUUUUUCUUUGUAUGUCGAAAGAUCUUCAAUCCUCGGAGUGGUCUUUUUGCUGCUUCCCCAAAUAAUCGUAGAAGGUUUCUCCCAAAUCGAGACCUACAAUGAUAAUUGCUUAAGGAUAAGCAGUGUGCGUGACACUUCCUUGAGGAUCAAUCAGUUUCCAAGAAGAAGGGACAAUUGAUGACAAAUUAUAAUAUGGUUAUUCUGUGUCUCAUCAAAAUGGUUCCUAAAGUUAUCUGUGGAGUACAUUACCAUCUACACCGACAAGCACCAUCAUCUUCUUCAAAAUUAGUUGUACAAACUUGCAACAAAAUUGUACUUUACGAUUCACCACCUCAUCGUCAUUUAGGAUGGAAGAACAGGAUGUGGAAGAAUAGAUAUCCUAAUGGCCCAAAAUCUAAUAGGAGUGGAUACAACUUAUUCUUUGCUAAAAACAUUCCAUGCUCAAAUCUCUUUAUCAACAUAGAGAGGGAAUUUCAAAAAUCUGAUUGGAGAAUAACUCCAUCAUCCAGUACUAUUAUGAAACUCCAUCAUCCAGUACUAUUAUGUAUUAUGAAGAUUCAUCAUAAAUUGAGAACGUGGGUUUUAUAUUA